UCCCAGGUGGCUGUCCUUGCCUUCCUACC
rnacentral:piRNA from 1 species